CCUUCUUCGAAGUCCACUUGGAUUAUCAAAACGUAACUUUCUCCGUCGAUGAACAAUAAGGUCUGAGUUUUGCACGUUUCACACGACAUCACUGAAUUGACCGACGCACAUGGAAAAUACUGUUUCGGUUAUCAACUAGGUCGUUGAUUCACACCCAUACAUCGCAUAUUUAUUUAUCGGGAAUAGCCGGAAUAGUGCUAUAGUACGAAGCACGUGUAUUUCUGGAUCGAUCCAUUGAAAUGUUGUCAUUUGAAUUCUGAUUUUCUUUCUGAACUAUUCUUAUGCCUCAUUGAUCUGCAUUCAAUGAAAAACCGUAUUGUAUACCAACGCAUUUAAUUUCACCUGUUGGAGUGUUUGUAUUACAUAUGUCAUACUCGGGUUAGGAAAUCAGAGAAAUAUAGACUGGUGUUAGUUGGUAAUUGUUUUUGCGAGGACAUGCGCUUCAACGCAAUGACAACGUGUUACAUUUAUUAUUUAGGAGUUAACCAGGACUUUCUUCAAGGGAUGUAGGGUGAUGAGCCUAUUUUUGACAUGUAAACUUGAGAAUACUGAACAACGAUCUGCAAGAAAAGGCAGGGAAAACUGUAAAAGCGCUGUCAUCAUCUGCUGAAGACGUACAACUAAUUAAAAAAUAUACUAAAGUAUAUUUUUUGCUGAGAAUUACCAGUUUCUGCAGAAGUUUGAUUGCACCGUAGGUGGCGAACGUCAUCACAAUCUGGACGACAUGAUAGGUUGUUCCGCAGGUGAGAAACGCUGGCAGAUUUUUGCACAUCCUUUGUGCGACCGAAACGAAGGAGGUGUUUGCAUCUGUAACGGUUUGAUGUUUGCUCUUCGGUAGAAUCGACUGAUUUUGUUAUUCACUCGUACAUCGAGCAAACAAUUUCGUCUAAGUUCCGUAAUCCCUGUUUCCUAUUUGUAUUCUUUACAUUUCUACUUGAGGGACGCUCUAAGCACUUUCAUGUAGAAAUGCUGAAGGAAUCUACCGAUCAUUACAAACUCUAAAGCUCUUUUAGAUCAGGGUCGGAAAAAUGACGAGUCUAACGAUCACCAUGAAAUGACAUCAUUUACUACGCCUAGAAUCAUAGGAAGAGGAAGAAUAUUCCUUGUAAAGGCUAAAAUGUUGGGACUACCAAGUCUAGCAGAUCGAAGAAGCUCUAUCGCAAACCCGAAGCACAUAACCCCUGGUCCUGAAAAUUUAGAUUCAACAAGGAGUUCCCAACGCUUCCAGGGACACCGAAAACCUUAAAUGUCUGAAAUGAGGAACUGCAAACGUAGCAUUUAUUCAUCCGAACUAUCAGCAAUCGGCCCCUCGAGUAGAAUAAAAUAGAUAAAUAAACGUAAAGUAAUAAACGUAGAUAUCAGCUUUUGCCAUACUAUCAUCAA